GGAAAGAGGGGAAAAGAAAAGAGAAAAGGGAAGAAAAAAACCCUAGCCGCCGCUCGCCGUCGCCGCCGCCGCCGCGUACCCGAGCCGCCCAAGCCCUCCUCCUUCUGUUCGUCAGCUCAGCCGGAUCGUUCGCAGCCGCCAGCCGUCGCGUGAAACCUCGUCCUGCCGCGUCGUCGAGCAACUCAGCCGAGUCGUUCGCAGCCGCCAGCCGUCGCGUGAAGCCGCGUCCUGCCGCAUCGCCGAGCAGCUCAGCUGGAUCGUGCGCAGCCGCCAGCCGUCGCGUGAAGUCGAGUCCUGCUGAGUCGCCGAGCAGCAGCAGUCGACGGUCGUCAGCGGCGCGCCUCCAGCCGUCGAAGCCGAACCCACGUUUCGGUCGUCGCCCGAACUCGAAGCCGAACCCACGUUUCGUCCGUCGCCCGAACUCGAAGCCGAACCCACAUUUCGGCCGACGCCCGAACCCUAAACCGACCCGCGCCCGCUCGCCCGAACCCGAAACCGCUCCACGCCCGCUCCGAGUCGUAAGUCGAGCCCGCGCGCGCCCAUCCCACGCAACGAGUCGCGCUUGUCUGUACCACGAGCCACGUCUGUCUAUGCCGCGAGCCGAGCCGAUCCCCAACCUUCAAGCCGAGCCAGUCCCUGCUCCUUCAGCCGAGCCACCAAGCUUAGUUGGCUCUUUCCACCCAAUUUUUUGGGGCGUCUUGGACCAAGUAACUGCUGCAGCGUGGGAUUUUUUCGGUAGGGGCUCAAGCAUUGCAACCUCUUUCUAGGUUAGGACCUCGUUGCUUGGAAAGCACACUUGUCUUGCGAUUAGGACUCGUCGAGUAAAUCUCCAGGUAGAGGCCGCGGUAAGGGCAAAGGAAAGCUAGCGAGCGACCAGAAGUGACCGUGGCGAGCCAUAGGGAUUUCUGCUUCUGCUUAUUCUUGCUUUUGACUAAUGACUUCGACUCAGUAUAAGGAGUUGGGUUUUUACAACGCGGCUCGCGGUUGGAGGCACGGCUCGACUGGGAGGCAGACGCAGACGCAGGUGCGGGUUCGGGUACAGCUCACGAUGCGGGUUGGAUAUGCGUAUGGCUCGAAAGUGGAGGGUGAAGCCAAAACGGCUCAGCUGUGUGCGGUUGGGUAGGCGACACGUCAACCAACAGAGAUGCUUGCUAACGACACCGAGCGACAACCGUGACGGCGAGUCAGCGAUCGACGACUUACGGCAGGGUGCUAACGGAGAUGCGGUAGCUAAGAGAACGAUGGAGGUGACGGGCUGCUUACGAAGGUGGGGCGACUGCGAACGGAUCGGCUACGAUGGGCGAGUCGAACGUCGGCGACGGUUAAGGAGAGAUUAAGGUUUCCUUUUUUUUUCCUUUGUGAAGAAAAUGAUGGCCCACUUCCCAAGGACCUAUUUAACCCCAAAAUAAUAAUAACGCAUUUAUUAUUAUUUUCCCUUUUUCUAUUCCUUAA